GCGCUCGUAGCUCAGCUGGAUAGAGCAAUGGCCUUCGAAGCCAUUGGCCGGGGGUUCGAAUCCCUCCGGGCGCG
rnacentral:tRNA from 1 species